GUUGGCGCAGACCACAGUGCUGCUCCUUGGCUAAGGCUUGGUCAAAGCCUAGCCCCUGUUUCUGAGGAAAUAAUUGGGUAGCUGCAAAGUCAAGAGCUUCGGUGUGGGGCUGGAAGGAGCCUGGCAGAGGAGAGCACAGGCUCCUGUAAGAGCUCUCCCCUGACACUGGCCUCUGCUUGUCACUGCUGUGGGUCCUGGGGCAAGGCUGUCCAAGAGACACUAAGCACUUGGGGCUGCUGAAAGAGAGAAAGCUGCAAGGUGUUUCCUCAUUACCAUCAAGAAAGAAGAAGUUGAUCAUGUACCCAUAGGUUUGGAUGGCCCAAAUCUUGCCCAUAAACUCAAGCCAGAAUGAACCAAAGAGCAACCCAGCAAGCUGUGUGGGAUAAUCAAGACUUGACUGGGUAUUCAAUACAGGUAGGAUAAACCUGAUAGUUUAACAGAUCAGCAGUUCUCUGAGUAUCUUCUACCCAAAAGGCAACUUUGAAAAAACGUGACAUCUAGUUAGUACAAAGUGUCACCUGAAUCAUUUAUGUAACAUUCCUCCCACCAUACUGCUCAUAAUAUCUUCAAAAAAGUGGGUGAAGAGCUACAACAAAAGUGAUAAUGGAAGAGAAAAGCCUCAGAUGUGAAAUGACAGCACAAGAAGUACAAUUUAUACUUCACCUUGUCUAAAGGAUAAAGCCAAGGCAUUUUCAGGUCAUAAGCAAGUCAGAAAUUUUUAUGUAAGAUAAAGAGCAUCACUGUGGUUUUAUAAUGUAGAAAUUAUGCAUUUGCACUGUUGUACACAUAUUUGCAUUAGUCAAAUAUCUAUGGUGUUUACACACAAAUAAUAUUGGACAAAAUCAAACUAGGUUCACGUUCAUGAGAAAUUUUUUGGUCAUCAUGUUUAGUAGCAAAAUGAUGGCAUCUGGAAAAGG